rnacentral:ncRNA from 1 species
ACGGCCACCUCGGGGUGCUGGAUGGGGCAAAACCUUCCUGCUGAGAUGCGCAUGCGAACCCGUCGAACCUGAACCGGUUAACACCGGCGGAGGAAAGGUAGGGACUAUGCAA